rnacentral:rRNA from 1 species
GGGGGCAGCUGACCACGGUAGGCUCAGCGACUGGGGUGAAGUCGUAACAAGGUAGCCCUAGGGGAACCUGGGGCUGGAUCACCUCCUUUCUAAGGAU